UACGUAGGUGGCAAGCGUUGUCCGGAUUUAUUGGGUUUAAGGGGUGCGUAGGCGGCUGAUUAAGUCAGUGGUGAAAGCCGAUCGCUUAACGAUCGAACUGCCAUUGAUACUGAAUAGCUUGAGUACAGAUGAGGUAGGCGGAAUUGACAGUGUAGCGGUGAAAUGCAUAGAUAUCUGCAGGAACACCCGUGGCGAAAGCGGCGAGCUGGAUCACUACUGACGCUGAGGAACGAAAGCUAGGGGAGCAAACAGG
rnacentral:rRNA from 1 species